GCCGCGGUGGCGGAACGGUAGACGCACAAGACUCAAAAUCUUGCGAGGGUUUCCUCAUGAGAGUUCGAUUCUCUCCCGCGGCA
rnacentral:tRNA from 1 species